AGUGAACGCUGGCGGCAGGCCUAAUACAUGCAAGUCGAACGGCAGCACAGCAGAGCUUGCUCUGUGGGUGGCGAGUGGCGGACGGGUGAGGAAUACAUGGGAAUCUGCCCAGUCGUGGGGGAUAACGUAGGGAAACUUACGCUAAUACCGCAUGCGCCCUUCGGGGGAAAGCCGGGGACCUUCGGGCCUGGCGCGAUUGGAUGAGCCCAUGUCGGAUUAGCUAGUUGGCGGGGUAAAGGCCCACCAAGGCGACGAUCCGUAGCUGGUCUGAGAGGAUGAUCAGCCACACUGGAACUGAGACACGGUCCAGACUCCUACGGGAGGCAGCAGUAGGGAAUAUUGGACAAUGGGCGCAAGCCUGAUCCAGCCAUGCCGCGUGAGUGAAGAAGGCCCUCGGGUUGUAAAGCUCUUUUUGUCCGGAAAGAAAAGCGCCGGGUUAAUACCCUGGUGUCCUGACGGUACCGGAAGAAUAAGCACCGGCUAACUUCGUGCCAGCAGCCGCGG
rnacentral:rRNA from 1 species